GACAGAGGUGCCAAGCGUUAGGCGGAAUCACUGGGCUUAAAGCGUGUGUAGGUGGAAGCGUAAGUACCUUGUGAAAUCCCACGGCUCAACCGUGGAAACUGCUUGGUAUACUGCGUUUCUUGAGCCAACUAGGGGCUAUCGGAACAAGUGGUGGAGCGGUGAAAUGCGUAGAUAUCACUUGGAACGCCAAUGGUGAAAACAGAUAGCUGGGGUUGUGCUGACACUGAGACACGAAAGCCAGGGGAGCAAACGGGG
rnacentral:rRNA from 1 species